rnacentral:rRNA from 1 species
AUGAAGCUGCACGUAGCCUUCUUCCUCCUGGUAGCCAUGGCCGCGACGGCCCGGGCCGUGACGUUCGACGCGUCGAACACGGCGUCGGGCACCACCGGCGGCAAGCGCUUCGACAACGCCGUCGGCCUCGCGUACUCAAAGCAGGUCCUCUCCGACGCCUCCACCUUCAUCUGGAGCACCUUCAACCAGCGCGCCGCUGCCGACCGCAAGCCCGUCGACGCGGUCACCCUCGUCGUGGAGGACAUCGACGGCGUCGCCUUCACCAGCGGCAACGGCAUCCACCUCAGCGCUAGCUACGUCGGCGGCUACACCUCCGGCGACGUCAAGAAGGAGGUGACCGGCGUGCUGUACCACGAGGCGACGCACGUGUGGCAGUGGAACGGGCAGGGCGCGGCGAACGGCGGCCUCAUCGAGGGGAUCGCCGACUACGUGCGGCUCAAGGCCGGGCUCGCGCCUGGGCACUGGAGGCCGCGGGGGAGCGGCAGCCGGUGGGAUGAGGGGUACGACAUCACGGCGAGGUUCCUCGACUACUGCGACUCGCUCAAGCCUGGGUUCGUCGCGCAGCUCAACGCCAAGAUGAAGAGCGGGUACAGCGACGACUUCUUCGCGCAGAUUCUCGGCAAGAACGUGCAGCAGCUGUGGCAGGACUACAAAGCCAAGUUCGGAGGCUGA